AUUGAACGCUGGCGGCAUGCCUUACACAUGCCAGUCGAACGGUAACGGGCCUUCGGGUGCCGACGAGUGGCGCACGGGUGCGUAAUACAUCGGAACGUGCCCGAUCGUGGGGGAUAACGAGGCGAAAGCUUUGCUAAUACCGCAUACGAUCUACGGAUGAAAGCAGGGGACCGCAAGGCCUUGCGCGGACGGAGCGGCCGAUGGCAGAUUAGGUAGUUGGUGGGAUAAAAGCUUACCAAGCCGACGAUCUGUAGCUGGUCUGAGAGGAUGAUCAGCCACACUGGGACUGAGACACGGCCCAGACUCCUACGGGAGGCAGCAGUGGGGAAUUUUGGACAAUGGGCGCAAGCCUGAUCCAGCCAUGCCGCGUGCAGGAUGAAGGCCUUCGGGUUGUAAACUGCUUUUGUACGGAACGAAAAGCCUUCUUUUAAUACAGGAGGGUCAUGACGGUACCGUAAGAAUAAGCACCGGCUAACUACGUG
rnacentral:rRNA from 1 species